GUUUUUAGUCCAUUUGACGGACGAGUACGCCGUGUAGUAGUUCUCUAAAAACACUUCUUUGAAGUUGCAGCUGUCGUUGUAGUCUUUCUGUCCGGGAAAGAAGAACAGAUGGUAAGGAUGGAUGGCUUCAUACUUUGCCCUGUAACAUUCCGGUGCGGUUCAUGGAAAUAUAAUACUGGCUCUUCAGUCCUUUUAUAGCCAACACGCCGCCCUCCGAAACCGUCCUGAUCUCCAGAACACCUGAAACACAGACAGAGACCGACCCGAACACAUGAAGACACGCAGACGAUGUGCGCUUCAGUCCAGACGGUUCCACUGUGAUACACGGAGAGAGGGAGUUUCGGGGCCGCCCGUCUGCGCUGUGCAUCUUCUCGUGUUGCUGAGCUCUGUGCGAUCUCUGAU